UACGGGGGGGCAAGCGUUGUUCGGAAUUACUGGGCGUAAAGGGCUCGUAGGCGGCCAACUAAGUCAUACGUGAAAUCCCUCGGCUUAACCGGGGAACUGCGUCUGAUACUGGAUGGCUUGAGUUCGGGAGAGGGAUGCGGAAUUCCGAGGUGUAGCGGUGAAAUGCGUAGACAUCUGGAGGAACACCGGUGGCGAAGGCGGCAUCCUGGACCGACACUGACGCUGAGGAGCGAAAGCCAGGGGAGCAAACGGGG
rnacentral:rRNA from 1 species